rnacentral:tRNA from 1 species
GCCUGGGUAGCUCAGUGGUAGAGCUCCUGACUUGAGUCGCAGGGGUCCCAGGUUCGAUUCCCGGUCCAGCCA